GCUCACGCUUGUAAUCCCAGCACUUUGGGAGGCCGAGGCGGGCGGAUGACGAGGUCAGGAGAUCGAGACCAUCCUGGCUAACACGGUGAAACCCCGUCUCUACUAAAAAUACAAAAAAAAAAAAAAAAAUUAGCCGGGCGUGGCGGCGGGCGCCUGUAGUCCCAGCUACUCAGGAGGCUGAGGCAGGAGAAUGGCGUGAACCCGGGAGGCGGAGCUUGCAGUGAGCCGAGAUCGCGCCACUGCACUCCAGC
rnacentral:lncRNA from 1 species